rnacentral:rRNA from 2 species
GUUAUAUGGUCAAGUAGAAAAGCGCACACGGUGGAUGCCUUGGCGAUAACAGGCGAUGAAGGACGUGAUAGCCUGCGAAAAGCUGCGGCGAGUUGGCAAAUAAACAUUGACCCGCAGAUGUCCGAAUGGGGAAACCCACUCCUUUGGAGUAUUCUUAUCUGAAUCUAUAGGGUAAGAAAGCAAACCUAGGGAACUGAAACAUCUAAGUACCUAGAGGAAAAGAAAUCAACCGAGAUUCCGUCAGUAGUGGCGAGCGAAAGCGGAACAGCCCGUAUGAUAUAGUCGUAUUAUGAGCAGAAUGGUCUGGAAAGUCCAGCGACACAGGGUGAUAGCCCCGUAGGCAAACAUAAAACGAUAGAACUAAGCAUACAUAGAGUAAGGCGGGACACGAGAAAUCCUGUCUGAACAUGGGGGGCCCAUCCUCCAAGGCUAAAUACUCGUUAUCGACCGAUAGUGAACCAGUACCGUGAGGGAAAGGUGAAAAGAACCCAGCGAGGGGAGUGAAAUAGACCCUGAAACCGUGUGCGUACAAGCAGUGGGAGCAUUUGAAGAAAUGUGACUGCGUACCUUUUGUAUAAUGGGUCAGCGACUUACUGGCAGUGGCAAGCUUAACCAUCAGGUAGGCCUAGCGAAAGCGAGUCUGAAUAGGGCGUUAAGUCGCUGUCAGUAGACCCGAAACCGGGCGAUCUAGCCAUGAGCAGGAUGAAAGUCGGGUAACACCAACUGGAGGUCCGAACCCACGUCUGUUGAAAAAGACGGGGAUGACUUGUGGCUAGGAGUGAAAGGCUAAUCAAGCUCGGAGAUAGCUGGUUCUCCUCGAAAGCUAUUUAGGUAGCGCCUUGCGUUUUACUCUCGGGGGUAGAGCACUGUUUGGGCUAGGGGGGCAUCUCGCUUUACCAACCCCAUGCAAACUUCGAAUACCGAGAAGUACCAUCGCAGGAGACACACGGCGGGUGCUAACGUCCGUCGUGAAAAGGGAAACAACCCAGACCGCCAGCUAAGGUCCCCAAAUGAACGCUCAGUGGGAAACGAUGUGGAAAGUCACAGACAGCCAGGAGGUUGGCUUAGAAGCAGCCACCCUUUAAAGAAAGCGUAAUAGCUCACUGGUCGAGUCGGUCUGCGCGAAAGAUAUAACGGGGCUCAAGCGUUCUACCGAAGCUGCGGAUGCCGUAAGGCAUGGUAGGGGAGCGUUCUGUAAGCCUGUGAAGGUCUGCUGUGAGGCAGACUGGAGGUAUCAGAAGUGCGAAUGCUGACAUAAGUAGCGAUCAUGCGGGUGAAAAACCCGCACGCCGAAAGUCCAAGGUUUCCUGCGCCACGUUAAUCGACGCAGGGUGAGUCGGUCCCUAAGGCGAGGCAGAUAUGCGUAGCCGAUGGAAAACGGGUUAAUAUUCCCGUACUUUACUGCACUGCGAUGAGGGGACGAAGAAGGCUAAGUCAGCACGCGAUUGGUUGUGCGUGUUUAAGGUGGUAGGCAGAAUCAGUAGGCAAAUCCGCUGAUUUAAUGCCGAGAACUGACGACGAGUCUCGUUUCAGAGACGAAGUGACUGAUGCCCUGCUUCCAAGAAAAGCCUCUAAGCUUCAGGUGUAGUAGAACCGUACCCCAAACCGACACAGGUGGACAGGGUGAGAAUCCCAAGGUGUUUGAGAGAACUCGGGUGAAGGAACUAGGCAAAAUAGCACCGUAACUUCGGGAGAAGGUGUACCUUCUGGAUGAACCCUGCACAGGGGAAGUCUAAGAAGGUCGCAGUGACCAGGUGGCUGCGACUGUUUAUUAAAAACACAGCACUCUGCUAACACGAAAGUGGACGUAUAGGGUGUGACGCCUGCCCGGUGCUGGAAGGUUAAUUGAUGGGGUUAGCGAAAGCGAAGCUCUUGAUCGAAGCCCCAGUAAACGGCGGCCGUAACUAUAACGGUCCUAAGGUAGCGAAAUUCCUUGUCGGGUAAGUUCCGACCUGCACGAAUGGCGUAACGAUGGCCACACUGUCUCCACCCGAGACUCAGCGAAAUUGAAUUUGCGGUGAAGAUGCCGUAUACCCGCGACUAGACGGAAAGACCCCAUGAACCUUUACUAUAGCUUUACACUGGACUUUGAACCGACUUGUGUAGGAUAGGUGGGAGGCUGUGAAACACUCACGCCAGUGCGUGCGGAGCCAACCUUGAAAUACCACCCUGGUCUGUUCGGGGUUCUAACUUGAUACUGUUACCCAGUAUAAGGACCGUGUAUGGUGGGUAGUUUGACUGGGGCGGUCUCCUCCCAAAGAGUAACGGAGGAGUGCGAAGGUACCCUCAGCGCGGUCGGAAAUCGCGCAUUGAGUGCAAAGGCAUAAGGGUGCUUGACUGCGAGACUGACAAGUCGAGCAGGUACGAAAGUAGGUCUUAGUGAUCCGGUGGUACUUCAUGGAAGGGCCAUCGCUCAACGGAUAAAAGGUACUCUGGGGAUAACAGGCUGAUUCCUCCCAAGAGUUCACAUCGACGGGGGAGUUUGGCACCUCGAUGUCGGCUCAUCACAUCCUGGGGCUGUAGUCGGUCCCAAGGGUAUGGCUGUUCGCCAUUUAAAGUGGUACGCGAGCUGGGUUUAGAACGUCGUGAGACAGUUCGGUCCCUAUCUGUCGUGGGCGUAGGAAAUUUGAGAGGAGUUGCUCCUAGUACGAGAGGACCGGAGUGAACGUACCGCUGGUGUACCAGUUGUCAUGCCAAUGGCACUGCUGGGUAGCUAUGUACGGACGGGAUAACCGCUGAAAGCAUCUAAGCGGGAAGCCUCCCUCAAGAUGAGAUUUCCCAGACGAAAGUCUCUAAAGGUUCGUUGAAGACGACGACGUAGAUAGGCAGGGUGUGGACAUGCAGUAAUGUAUGAAGCUAACCUGUACUAAUCAACCGUGCGGCUUGACCAUAUAACACCCAAGGGUUU